UUACCAGGUCUUGACAUCUUGCGCCAACCCUAGAGAUAGGGCGUUUCCUUCGGGAACGCAAUGACAGGUGGUGCAUGGUCGUCGUCAGCUCGUGUCGUGAGAUGUUGGGUUAAGUCCCGCAACGAGCGCAACCCUUGUUACUAGUUGCCAGCAUUCAGUUGGGCACUCUAGUGAGACUGCCGGUGACAAACCGGAGGAAGGUGGGGACGACGUCAGAUCAUCAUGCCCCUUAUGACCUGGGCUACACACGUGCUACAAUGGACGGUACAACGAGUCGCGAACUCGCGAGGGCAAGCUAAUCUCUUAAAACCGUUCUCAGUUCGGACUGCAGGCUGCAACUCGCCUGCACGAAGUCGGAAUCGCUAGUAAUCGCGGAUCAGCAUGCCGCGGUGAAUACGUUCCCGG
rnacentral:rRNA from 1 species